AGAUUUUGGCAUUACGAUUGCACCCUCUAGUAAUCUAUCUCCAAGUGAUAGCAUUUUUUUGAAGUCAUAGCCUUGUUCAAUACCAAACCAAUGAUGAUGUCAACAACUUAGAAUCAACUUAGUGAAGAUUUUUCUUAGGUUCUUAUGAUCCACGUUGAUGACAUUUUUUUAUAUUUUUUUUGUCCAAGAUAGUACUUCCAUGCUCCACAUCACGUCUCAGGUACAUGCUAAGUAUGGUGAAAAUUGAUCUCACAACUAAGGGUGGCUCGAACCAAAGAUCAAUCUUGACAAAACUUAAACUUCUUAUGAUGACCAUAAUCAUAUAAUAUCUCAGAAGACAAUUAUCACUUCAAGAUAGUUUUAUAAUGCAUCAUCCCGUAAUAUCAAGGUGCUACCCCCUUAGAAUGAGAUUGAUUGGGGGACACCAAGGACUAGUUCUCCUAUCCUUUUUGGACGCUACACAUCAUAGUCUUUUACAUUCGUUGUACCGAGUCUUUUGAUCCAAGGUUAGUUUCAUCACUAAGUUCCAAUUAUCGGUACCUUUAUCACGGUUAAGUUGUUUCACUCUCAUACUGUACAUAUAACUUCGUA
rnacentral:lncRNA from 1 species